AGAAGUGGUCAGUUCUCAUUUAGGGACAGGGAUGUUGGUGACGUUGAACAGUAUGUGAUUCCAAAACUACUGAUUUGGUACAAAGUUAUUAUACGAUAAUGCAGAAUAAAAUACUUGGAAGUUUGAUCAGUUGUCAUCAUUCACCGAUUUUUUUAAUUGCUUAAAAAAACUAUUACUCGUGUUACUGAAAUUAUGUGACAAAGGAAAGAUAAAAUUGUGAAAAUUUCAACCAGCCAAAACGUCUAAGCUAAUUUACCGAUUUGGCUCAUCUGCGAACUUGAUCAAGAUAAUUACCCAUAGAAUAAGCUUAGAAAAUUUCAUCAGCAUCCGUUGAGAAUUGUAGGCGCUAUUGUGAUGAUAAGACCAAUAAUAAUCUUAGGACGUACAGUGCACAGAUUAUUUUUUCACAAUAAAAUAUAUUUGAUGGAAUUGGAUUAUAAUGGAAAAUGCAUAAGUUAUCAGGAAUGAAAAGCAUAUUUUCUAGUUUUCUUGAUUCUGUCCAAUUUUUCAAGGAUGCAAAAUUAGUAGAAAGGAUCUUCAAAAAUUGAAGCAUGUAGCGUUGUUCAAUAAUUACAAGAAGCUCAUCGCAAUGGAGAAUUUCCUGAAGAUGAAACCCUGAAGUGCUAACUCGGUUGCUGCUGCAAAAUGUCAAAAAUAGUAAAAACUUUGAUAAAGACAAUAAUAUUGAUUUAAGUUAUGUGUUUAAAUAAUUGGAUGCAACGGUAGAACUACAGUAUAUAGACGAUGAAACAUGUUUUUAUUACUUGUAAAGCUCAAAUGACAGCUACUGAGCUUUGUCAAUUGGGUUAUGAUUACGCUAAAUGUUACUAAAAUAUGGAUGCAGGGGUA